rnacentral:rRNA from 1 species
AGAGUUUGAUCCUGGCUCAGGACGAACGCUGGCGGCGUGCUUAACACAUGCAAGUCGAACGAUGAAGCCCCUUCGGGGGUGGAUUAGUGGCGAACGGGUGAGUAACACGUGGGCAAUCUGCCCUGCACUCUGGGACAAGCCCUGGAAACGGGGUCUAAUACCGGAUACGACACAGGGAGGCAUCUCCUCUGUGUGGAAAGCUCCGGCGGUGCAGGAUGAGCCCGCGGCCUAUCAGCUUGUUGGUGAGGUAACGGCUCACCAAGGCGACGACGGGUAGCCGGCCUGAGAGGGCGACCGGCCACACUGGGACUGAGACACGGCCCAGACUCCUACGGGAGGCAGCAGUGGGGAAUAUUGCACAAUGGGCGCAAGCCUGAUGCAGCGACGCCGCGUGAGGGAUGACGGCCUUCGGGUUGUAAACCUCUUUCAGCAGGGAAGAAGCGCAAGUGACGGUACCUGCAGAAGAAGCGCCGGCUAACUACGUG